ensembl:lncRNA
UCUUUCUCUUUCUCUUUCUCUUUCUCUUUCUCUUUCUCUUUCUCUUCCUCUUUCUCUGUGAUGUAUUUCCCCAAAUACAUCACAAAUACAUCACAAAUACAUCACAAAAUGACUUUUCUCAGUACCCAACCAUCUCAUACCUCCUUGUUCUGUUCUCACCUGUUUGAUCAUAGAGUAGCUAUCAGUAGCAAUCAUUUUGUAAACAAAUGGGAAUGUAGGGAUUUAGGGAUGAUUUGCAGGACUUUGGUACAAAUAGUAAUAAUGAGGGAGAGUGGGAAGACAUUCUGAUCAUCAGUGACCUUUUGGGAGCAGUAUUUGCCUUGUGUUUUUAGAGUGAUGUGCAUGCUGUUGCUGUCUUCAAAAAGGAAAAGAGAGCUCUACAGCAGAAGCCAGGAGGUGAGCUGGGCUGGCCUCUCUCUGCCUGCCUAUGCUCCUUUCUUCCCCCUGGAAAGUUCACUACGUGAGGUUUUGGCAGGCUUCCUUGAUGUAUGGGUAUGGAAAGCUACAACUAACUCCCCAGAUGAUUGAUUUUCACCAUUUCUUCUGUCACAUUGGUCUGGCAACAGGGGAAAUAGCUGUGGCUGUGACUGUGGUGAGAGCAGCACAACCACCCCAUCCUGCUCUGAGUCCUCACCUCCUCUGCAGCAUUGCCUCACAGACCCUUGUACACCCUAAGAGCAGCAGUCAGCAACCAGCCAUGGUGACCUGGGUUUAAUUUGUAUGCAACUGAAUACAAUUAGUCCCCAGAGAAACUUGAGUUGCUUUUUUGUUUCACAAAAAAUAAAAUAAAAUAAAAUAAAAAAUAAUAAAAAAAAAUCACUAAUGCUGAAGUUCUGGCACGUGCUCCAGCCUUCCAGCUUUCCAGCUCAAGUCCCCCCCUCCUCAUGCUGGCAAUGUGUGAGUUCAGCCGAAAGCGAACUAUGUGUACAACGCAUUUGAGUGCUCCUUGGGAAAUGGGCUUGUGUUUUUCCCUUCUAAAUGUCUGUAACCACAACUGUCUUCGAAUGCAUCCCUGCUCCGAGCUUUAGAGGAGAAAACGGUCGUUAACGUGGUCAUUAAUGUGUGUUAUCCAAGCACAUACCUAAGGCAAAUACAAGUAUAACAGUAUUGCAAAGGUUAACCUGGACAUCAAAGGCAUGACCUCGUCCUUGACAAAAUAAAGCCUCCUGGCAGCCUUUCAGCCCGAUCUGGAUACAAACCUAAGGGCGGAGAGGAGUGAUGUUCCGCCGGUGGGAGCCGGGCUGAAAACGGCUGCAUGGCAUCCAUCCUACCGCUUAGUUCGGGACCUCUCCCUCGGACAAACGGCCCCACCUAGCGGCGGUGCCGCGCGCCGUGCCGGACCUUCGGUGACGUCACCAAGAGAUGGUGUGACGUCACAGCACGGGGCUCCCCUUCCCCAAUCCCGGGGAGGCCCAGGAGCUUCCCGAACGGAUGUGUCAGCUCGCGAUAGGCGAUAGGAGCAGAGUGGGGAUGGGGUGCAUCGCACCCCCCUCUCCCCACGGUCACCUGCAGAAUCACCUGCAAGUUCCUGCUGCACUCCCUGAGAACCGCUGAAAAUGUCUGGUGCUGUGAGCUCCUGGAGGAGCUCUUUGUGACGGGGAGCUGCCAAAUGUUGCUCCCGGUUUUGCUGCUGGCUGGAUUUACUGUGUGAUAUCAAAUGCAUCGCAGUAGUUUGAGGCACGGGGGAUGACUGCCAAGCCCUCUGUCAAAAGAAAGACAAGUCUUUUUGGCAGGCAGUAUGCAAAAUAAACUGAGCUGUUCUCCAGUAGCAACCCAGAAAGACUCCUGGAUUUUGCACUUUGUUCAUAAUUUGUAAGCAAAUACUCAAGCUAUCAAAAUGGAAAAAAAUAAUACCAAUAAUGUCUUUACCAUCUCUCUCUCUCUCU